AUUGAACGCUGGCGGCAGGCCUAACACAUGCAAGUCGAACGAGUGGCGGACGGGUGUGUAAUGUCUGGGAAACUGUCUGAUGGAGGGGGAUAACUAUUGGAAACGGUAGCUCAUACCGCAUACCAUCAGAUGUGCCCAGAUGGGAUUAGCUAGUAGGUGAGGUAACGGCUCACCUAGGCGACGAUCCCUAGCUGGUCUGAGAGGAUGACCAGCCACACUGGAACUGAGACACGGUCCAGACUCCUACGGGAGGCAGCAGUGGGGAAUAUUGCACAAUGGGCGCAAGCCUGAUGCAGCCAUGCCGCGUGUAUGAAGAAGGCCUUCGGGUUGUAAAGUACUGUCAGCGGGGAGGCGGUACCCGCAGAAGAAGCACCGGCUAACUCCGUGCCAGCAGCCGCGGUAAUUC
rnacentral:rRNA from 1 species